GUGGAGAGGGGGUAGUUCCAUAGUCUUAGGUGGAGUGAGUUCGGUACUCAUACGUAGCUUUUUUUAUUUUUUAGUAUUUUUUUAGUAUUUCAUUUUCUUUAGCAUUUUUUUUAGUAUCUCUUUUUCUUUUAGCUUUUAUCUUUUAUUAUUUUAUUGUCUUUUAGUAUUUUGUUUCUUGUAAUAUCUUUUUUUAUGUCCAUGCUUCUUUAUUAAUUUCAUCAUACAUGCAAAACCAUUUUUAAACUAAUAAAAAUCAUAUUCUCUCGAUUUAAUAUCGAGCCCCUUUUUUUCACACCCCUGUAAGUCGAUUGCUUUUAAGCAUCGCCGCCGACCUCACAUAGUUUACUCUUGGGCUUUCUUACAAUGAGCCGGUUCCCUUGCACUUACACUCAUGCAUUAUUUGUUUGGACCCGAUUUUAUUUAUUCCAUGAUUGUUUAAUCCCCAUUUGACAAAUGUACCCCACUCCCCCAAUGUGUAAUAAUUUUGUACUUUUUAUUUCUUUUAUUGUUUGGUUGUUUAAUUAGCUACUAACACAAGAAUAAAAUCAACAAAUUUCAAAAAUACAAAAUAAAGACUCGAUCCAACGUCGAGCAUUUUCUCAAUAAACAAAUCAACUCAUUGCUCCAUCCUAUUCCAUCCCAUCUUUUUC
rnacentral:lncRNA from 1 species